UCCACUAACACAAAAGCACAGUCCAUUCUUAUUAAAUAGCGACAAAUGUUAAAGAAUGCGCGCCUACUACUCAGAACAUACAUAUUUAGAAUCUACGCAUUCAUAAACAAUAAAUCUCACUCCCUCAAUGAUAUUAAAUUCGCGAAGAUAAACUAUACAAAAUAAUAGACCAAAGGCACUACUUGUUCAUGACUUAGUUUUUGAAACAUCUUCUGCUAGUAAGUAGCUACUGUAACUGCAUGGCUGAGUUACCAUUAAUAAGUCAAGAUAAAUAGGAGAUUCAAUUCAUUCAUACAUCUUUGUCCAUAUUAUAAGCUUUGAUUGUUACUUGGUCUUAGUGUCUUUACUUGCUUCAACUGGUUGGGCAGGGUAAGAAUGUCACAACUUAAGGAAAUCUAUGAAUUUGUAAUAUGAUAAAAACAUCAGAAGUCUCCUGUAAAAGUAAGUAACUUCUUUAUCAGUCGUUUAAUUCAAAGAAGAAAUGCACCAAUCAUCCGCCAAUGAAAGGGUAUCUUAGAGAUAUAAUAUAGUCUCUGAAUAAAUGAAAUUUCUAUGACAUCCAAGAUACUGAACACACACAAUUAUAAUUAUAACAAAACAUAUCAUUGAACAUAACACAUCAAGGUUGUCAUUGAAAUCAAACUAAUUUGCUUAAAUCAGGAGAAACAAUUAAAUAAAUAGCUUGCACAAAAAUAAAAAUGAAGACAACAUAAAGUACAAAGUACCUCUUUCUGCAGGCAUGUCAGAACCAAUUGAAGCAUGUGCAUAACUACAAUAUAAAGACAAUAAAAUAAAUAAACUAAAACACAUACGCAAUCCAAAACCGGCUAUUUCAUAGAAGUGCUUGAAGUGAUUUAAGCCUUACCAUCAUAAUGAUAUAUUACAUAAAUUUAUAGAGAGCGGUAUGCUGAGGGAUUGAGCAAAAAGAGGUACCAAGAUGAAUAGUUCAUAUCUGUUACCAUUCGAAGUGAAGGAGGAGGAACUUUAACUCUUCGGCAACUAUGGUAAGUAAAUUUUGCUAUGAGUUUCGCUCAGUAGUUAUAAUCAGCAAACAAAGAAAAAUAGAAGAAGACGAAAGUAGUCAUCACAGAAGCAUAUUCAUAAUACAUACUUCAUAUAUGUUAAAAGAUAGCACAUAUGUGAAUGCAUGUACUCAUACCAUUUAUAAAUACACAUGAAUCAUAUAAUCCUUGUGCAUUUCAUGUACUGAACUAAACGUAUAGCAAACCAAACUAUCAAGAACUACAAGUGGACAGGUGAAUUAGUCCCUACCAAAUAUGCAAAGACGGUAUAUCAAUCCACUAGUUGUACUUUCACGCAAAACAUCGGAAUGAAAUACAAAUUUAAAAGCAAAUUCCAAGCAAAACUAUAUUUAAAAAAAAACUGUUAGGUGAAGUGCAAUGAGAAUGAAUGAAAGAAGAUAGCAUACGUUGAUUUCAUAUCGAGCUACUUGGAACUCUAUUUUACGGCAUCAAGGGAUAAUACCACUAAUGUUGAUGUUCCUAAAAUGAAAUUGCACUCCAAUCAUGUGACUUUUACCCUUGAACUAUUCAAAAUAUGUUACUUUUAUCCUCCGUUAAAUUUUAGCAGCAAUUAUACCCCUGCCAUCUAAUUUUUGGCCCACAUAUACCUUUACUACUAAUGACCCUCCACAUCAGAUGCCACACAUAUUUAACUAUAACAUAAUUAAUGAUGUGGCUAUCCAACAUGAAAAAAGCUCUCCCUUGAUCGACAGUCUUCUUCUACCUUUUAAAAAACCUUAAUUCAUAUCUUCAAGAUCCAUUCCAUAAAAAACAUUAUCAAAACUGGACAAAUAUUGCAUUUAAAUUACUUCAUAGCUAGACCAAAACUGCAGCAAAUACUGAACACAAAACUGCAAAAGAAAAAAAAAUGCAGCAAAACUGCAAUUAGACCAAAACUGAACUGUAGCAAAACUUGAAAAAAGAGUGGAGCUUUAAUAUCUUUUGAGACAUGUAUUCUUUUGAACUGAAAACUUGUGCCUUGCUAUAAAUCGAGGGAAGUAAUUAAGCUCUGCAAAAAAAUUUAAUUUCUAUGCUCGAGUAUAUUGAAUAUCGCCAAGCCUUCUAUGUUAACUUCAUUAAAUGUUUAAACUCUUUCAAUCAAACGUCUAACCACCCAUGCAAUUCAUUCUAGUAUUACAUAUUUGUCUUUUGCUGACUUUCAAAUAGAACAGUAUAACUUUUUUAGAAAUUUACGGUACAAAAUGAUGGACUUGAGGAGCAUACAUUUCAAGAGAUACAUGUUGCAAAAAGAAUAUGGUACUUAGUUUAGUAGUUACUUCACAUAAAUGAACAAACAAUAACGGCAAAAAUAACCAAAUAGAUAGCUAAGAACUACAAAUCAACUACCAUAAGUUAUGCUGCAAAAUUUGGCAUAGGACAUCUAAUGGUGCGGGAGCCUUAUUCUGGAAGCUUCAAGAACUAAUUUGUAAAAGAUCUAUGCAUAUAUAUUAUUAUAAUAAAUACUGGUGCAAUAUGGUGAGCUUCUCAUUCAAAUAGAAACAGAGGAUAAUAUUGCUUUAGCAUGCUUACUUGUUGAUAUUAAGAAAGUGUUGAAGCAGAGUAGCAACAAAGUUACUGCUUAUAAAUUUAGUGACUUGGUAUCUAAGCCCAUAUAAAAACUAAUGAAGAAGAAACCUAUGUGGUUAGUCAAUGACGCCUUAUUAGUUAUCAUUCCAUGGAUAAAAAAGAAGCACUUUUACUAUAUUGAUACUAACUCUAUAGUUUUAGUUCUUUGCUAGAAAAGGACCUCUUCAUAUGAGGUAGGCUCAUGGCUCAUGAAAUCCAUGAUAGGUUCUCCAAGUCUAUAAAUACUUUAAUUUGUUGGGGCGAUAUAGAUCACUAAGAAGACAUCUUCUAGCACGGUGCAUAUUAAGACUUUAUAAGCAAAGCAUAUUUAUUAUAGUCAUAGACCAGGCAAUUAUAAUAUACACAUACAUGACUUGUGCGAAGUACUUUUUUCUAUCAAAGAGAUCCACUCAAGAGGUUGGUAAUUUCUUCACAUACACCAAAAUAUGAAUGUGUAUUUGAAGGGAAGAAUUUUUUUAUGUUACUUGCUAUUGUUAACAUGAUCUGAAUGAGCAUGGUACAUACGCAUCGUUGAUAAACCUUGUAAUGUUCAAAACUUUAUUUUUUCGUCAAGCUAUUAUAGACCCUCUAGCUUCUCAGCAGGAAACUGGAAGAAACAUUCCAUUAUUUUUUAAACUUAUUCAUUCAAGGAUUAAAUAUCGAUAUAUUUUUAUCUAUCCUUAAAGAUUACAACAAUAAGAACUACUCCUCAAUUCCAAAUAAGAAAUAAAGAAAUAAUUAAUAAUAAGAAUACUUUACUUUAUCUUGACCAAAAAAAGUCACUUUAUGAAGAUCUAAUUGCUCAUCUUGUGGUAAAAAGUGUCCAAUUAUGUCAUGCAAACGAUCAAAUAUUUGCAAUUUUUCCAAAACAUCGGAUCACAUGAACAAUCUUAGCUUGCACUCGUUCUCUUCAAGUCGACCACUGUUAAAUUCAAGAAAAUUUUAACCUUAACAAUAUUGGUAAUUAAAGAUCCGAAGUAUGAUAAUGACUAAAGUUUUUGGGGAAGGGGAAAGAAAAUAUAUAGGGGAAUAAAUAAAAAAAGGACGCGUGUUUGUUGCUUCUAAAACCAGUAUAUGAUUAAAAAAAAUGAAAGUUUUACAGUUAUAGCAAAAUACUCAUCAUUGACAAAUGAGUAACUCUAAUACAACAACAUUUAUACCCCAUUUUGAAAAAUGCAUACAGAUUGAUGACCUAUUGGAGCAGUUCGACCUGGAAUCCUCAAAAUUUGAAGUUCCCAGGCUUUUAGUCCUUUAGUUUGUGCGCAUAGGUCCUUUGGAUGUGACCUUAUUUCCUAGAUUUUAGAAGAAAUUUCUAAACCAGUAAGAUUAUUUAUGAAAGCAUAUACAAGAAAUUUCUAUUCAACUAUUUUGCAUAGUAGGAUGAAUCGACCUUAAAGUUUUACAGAGCCCCAAUUCUUAAGGUUACGCAUAACUUAAACUAUUGGUUCUACAUUGGCUUUAAGUCAGUACCUUUAGGUUUGGUGGAUUUUCAGAGUAUUGUCACUUUGUGUUAUUUUUCAUUAUGCUAAUAUACUGUAACACCUGAUUGGAAUGCUUUGUCAAGAUUAAGUUUUUAGUGAGACAAAUUCUUAUAAACAAAAUUUAAGAGAGCAGAACCAUUUUUUUUUGUAGAGCCGGCCCAAAAUAUUAACGUGCUAGUUAAUAGCAUAUUAUAUAUAAAACAAAAAUAAAACCACAAUGUGAAAAGAACAAAAAGUAAUCUCUGUUUCAUUUUCGCAAUACUUAUUUAAAAUCUGAUCAUAGUUCAAUACAAAGCUCCUAUUUAUGAGGGGGGGAAAUCUUCCUUAAAAGCAAAACAAAAACCAAAAAGAAUAUAUAUGUCAGCCUCGAGAAUUACUCCAGAGGGAGAGAGAAACAACAAGUUGUUGUUAGGAAUACCGAGAGAACAACGUAAUAAAAUUAGAAAAGCAAAAAACGAUAAUGUUAAGGAAACAACAAUGAAGCAAAAGAGCAAAAAAAAGGGCAAAAACCAAAACAUAUUCAACAAAGGUAGACAGAAAAGUAGAAAGAACGAAAACAAACAGAAAGAAAUUUUAGCAAAAAUAAAAUGGAAAACAUACCCGGAUGAAAAGAUGAAGAGAAGAGUUGCUGCUUGUGCGGUCUGUUUUUAUCUUUUUUUAGUUAGAGAUGAGAAUGAAAAAUCGGAUUCUUCUAGAGUUUCUAUUUAACAAUUAUGACACAAUUACUAUUUUACCCUUAAAA
rnacentral:lncRNA from 1 species